rnacentral:rRNA from 1 species
AUACAUUGCAACGUCUGAGCGGAUCAGAUGGGAGCUUGCUCCCUGAUGUUAGCGGCGGACGGGUGAGUAACACGUGGGUAACCUGCCUGUAAGACUGGGAUAACUCCGGGAAACCGGGGCUAAUACCGGAUGGUUGUUUGAACCGCAUGGUUCAGACAUAAAAGGUGGCUUCGGCUACCACUUAUGGACCCGCGGCGCAUUAGCUAGUUGGAGGUAACGGCUCACCAAGGCGACGAUGCGUAGCCGACCUGAGAGGGUGAUCGGCCACACUGGGACUGAGACACGGCCCAGACUCCUACGGGAGGCAGCAGUAGGGAAUCUUCCGCAAUGGACGAAAGUCUGACGGAGCAACGCCGAGUGAUGAAGGUUUUCGGAUCGUAAAGCUCUGUUAGGGAAGAACAAGUGCCGUUCAAAUAGGGCGGCACCUUGACGGUACCUAACCAGAAAGCCACGGCUAACUACGUGCCAGCAGCCGCGGUAAUACGUAGGUGGCAAGCGCCGGAAUUAUUGGGAAGGCAGGCGGUUUCUUAAGUCUGAUGUGAAAGCCCCCGGCUCAACCGGGGAGGGUCAUUGCUGGGGAACUUGAGUGCAGAAGAGGAGAGUGGAAUUCCACGUGCGGUGAAAUGCGUAGGUGGAGGAACACCAGUGGCGAAGGCGACUCUCUGGUCUGUAACUGACGCUGAGGAGCGAAAGCGUGGGGAGCGAACAGGAUUAGAUACCCUGGUAGUCCACGCCGUAAACGAUGAGUGCUAUGUUAGGGGGUUUCCGCCCCUUAGUGCUGCAGCUAACGCAUUAAGCACUCCGCCUGGGGAGUACGGUCGCAAGACUGAAACUCUUGACGGGGGCCCGCACAAGCGGUGGAGCAUGUGGUUUAAUUCGAAGCAACGCGAAGAACCUUACCAGGUCUUGACAUCUGACAAUCCUAGAGAUAGGACGUCCCCUUCGGCAGAGUGACAGGUGGUGCAUGGUUGUCCAGCUCGUGUCGUGAGAUGUGGGUUAAGUCCCGCAACGAGCGCAACCCUUGAUCUUAGUUGCCAGCAUUCAGUUGGGCACUCUAAGGUGACUGCCGGUGACAAACCGGGAAGGGGAUGACGUCAAAUCAGCCCCUUAUCCUGGGCUACACACGUCAAUGGACAGAACAAAGGGCAGCGAAACCGCGAGGUUAAGCCAAUCCCACAAAUCUGUUCUCAGUUCGGAUCGCAGUCUGCAACUCGCGUGAAGGGAAUCGCUAGUAAUCGCGGAUCAGCAUGCCGCGGUGAUUCCCGGGCCUUGUACACACCGCCCGUCACCGAGAGUUUGUAACACGAAGUCGGUGAGGUAACCUUUAUGGAGCCAGCCGCCGCAAGGUGGGACAGCAUGAUUUGAAAGUCCGUUAAA